rnacentral:rRNA from 2 species
GGGUAACGCUCUAGAGAUAGAGUUUUCCCCUUCGGGGGACAAAGUGACAGGUGGUGCAUGGUUGUCGUCAGCUCGUGUCGUGAGAUGUUGGGUUAAGUCCCGCAACGAGCGCAACCCUUAAGCUUAGUUGCCAUCAUUAAGUUGGGCACUCUAGGUUGACUGCCGGUGACAAACCGGAGGAAGGUGGGGAUGACGUCAAAUCAUCAUGCCCCUUAUGAUUUGGGCUACACACGUGCUACAAUGGAUAAUACAAAGGGCAGCGAACCCGCGAGGUCAAGCAAAUCCCAUAAAAUUAUUCUCAGUUCGGAUUGUAGUCUGCAACUCGACUACAUGAAGCUGGAAUCGCUAGUAAUCGUAAAUCAGCAUGCUACGGUGAAUACGUUCCCGGGUCUUGUACACACCG